rnacentral:rRNA from 1 species
CCCUUAGAUGUUCUGGGCCGCACGCGCGCUACACUGAUGAAUUCAACGAGCAUAUAACCUUGACCGAAAGGCCCGGGGAAACUCCGAAAUUUCAUCGUGAUGGGGAUAGAUUAUUGUAAUUAUUAAUCUUCAACGAGGAAUUCCUAGUAAGCGCGAAUCAUCAGUUCGUGCUGAUUACGUCCCUGCCCUUUGUACACACCGCCCGUCGCUACUACCGAUUGAAUGGUUUAGUGAGGCCUUCGGAUCCGCGAUUUUAUUGUGGAGAAGUUGGACAAACUCAGUCAUUUAGAGGAAGUAAAAGUCGUAACA